UAGUGGGCUGCUGGCUAAGUCAAGUGGAAUGAAGCAGGAUAAAUGCAGGUGUGCAAAGGAGAAAGGGGGAAAGACUGGGAAUAGGACAGCCACAGAAGAAAGUUUCUGGCUAGCAAGCAAGCUCUCAGACCUACAAAAAGAUACCCGUAGUACAGCAGCAGCAGCUUGGACAAAUAAGAAAAGAGAGCGGUGCGGGCCGAGGGACGUGCUGGCAGCCACUUCCCGCAGCCCCCAUUGGCCUGGAACGGCGAACCACGGCCAGUGAGAGCUGCAAUCAGUUGAACCUGAGGAUGCUGCAGGUCUGGACACUGUGAAACUUACCAGCUGGUGACCAGGAGGCCCAUCUUGGAAGCCUGCCAGUUUCAGCUAGUGGGAGAACAAAGAGCUGAAGAGAGAGGGCCCAGAUGAUCUGUCUGUCUGGGAAAGAAGACAAAGGAUAGAGGAGAGGCUUUGGGGAAGAUGAUAUAAGGUGGUCAGCUGGAAGGAUGCUGCUUCUGGACUGGGAACAAAGAGAGGUGAGGGCCCACUCGGAUGGUGGACAGACCCAGAUCUACUAUGCUGACACUUUCUAGGCUCAAGGCCUCCGAG